rnacentral:rRNA from 1 species
GACGUAGGGUGCAAGCGUUGUCCGGAUUUAUUGGGCGUAAAGGGCGCGUAGGCGGCAUGUUAAGUCGGCUGUGAAAGCCUGGGGCUCAACCCCAGAGGGUCGGCCGAUACUGGCAAGCUAGAGUACGGAAGAGGUAGCUGGAAUUCCCGGUGUAGCGGUGAAAUGCGUAGAUAUUCGGAGGAACACCAGUGGCGAAGGCGGCUCACUGGUCCAUUACUGACGCUGAGGUGCGAAAGCGUGGGGAGCAAACAGG